rnacentral:rRNA from 1 species
CAAGUAUUAGAGGCAUUGCCUGCCCAGUGACUGUAGUUAAACGGCCGCGGUAUCCUGACCGUGCAAAGGUAGCAUAAUCACUUGUUCCUUAAUUAGGGACUUGUAUGAACGGCUAAACGAGGGUCCAACUGUCUCUUAUUUUUGAUCAGUGAAAUUGACCUUCCAGUGAAGAGGCUGGAAUCCUAAAAUAAGACGAGAAGACCCUAUGGAGCUUAAAUUAAUAAACUUAUAUGAAUAUCUUCCAUAAACCUAAUGGAAUAAAACAGAAAUAAUAAGCUUAAAAUUUUGGUUGGGGUGACCUCGGAGAACAGAAAAUCCUCCGAACGAUUAUAACAUAGACCAACAAGUCAAAGUAAACCAAUUUUCCAAUUGACCCAAAAAUUUGAUCAACGGACCAAGUUACCCUAGGGAUAACAGCGCAAUCCUAUUUAAGAGUCCAUAUCGACAAUAGGGUUUACGACCUCGAUGUUGGAUCAGGACAUCCCAAUGGUGCAGAAGCUAUUAAUGGUUCGUUUGUUCAACG